UACGUAGGGCGCAAGCGUUGUCCGGAAUUAUUGGGCGUAAAGAGCUCGUAGGCGGCUUGUCACGUCGGGUGUGAAAGCCCGGGGCUUAACCCCGGGUCUGCAUUCGAUACGGGCUAGCUAGAGUGUGGUAGGGGAGAUCGGAAUUCCUGGUGUAGCGGUGAAAUGCGCAGAUAUCGGGAAGAACACCGGUGGCGAAGGCGGCUCUCUGGGCCUGUCCUGACGCUCAGGCGCGAAAGCUAGGGGAGCGAACAGG
rnacentral:rRNA from 1 species